rnacentral:rRNA from 1 species
CUGGGAGGACCAUCUCCUAAGGCUAAAUACUCUCUAGUGACCGAUAGUGAACCAGUACCGUGAGGGAAAGGUGAAAAGCACCCCGGAAGGGGAGUGAAAUAGAACCUGAAACCGUGUGCUUACAAGUAGUCAGAGCCCGUUAAUGGGUGAUGGCGUGCCUUUUGUAGAAUGAACCGGCGAGUUACGAUUUGAUGCAAGGUUAAGCAGUAAAUGUGGAGCCGUAGCGAAAGCGAGUCUGAAUAGGGCGUUUAGUAUUUGGUCGUAGACCCGAAACCAGGUGAUCUACCCUUGGUCAGGUUGAAGUUCAGGUAACACUGAAUGGAGGACCGAACCGACUUACGUUGAAAAGUGAGCGGAUGAACUGAGGGUAGCGGAGAAAUUCCAAUCGAACCUGGAGAUAGCUGGUUCUCUCCGAAAUAGCUUUAGGGCUAGCCUCAAGUGAUGAUUAUUGGAGGUAGAGCACUGUUUGGACGAGGGGCCCCUCUCGGGUUACCGAAUUCAGACAAACUCCGAAUGCCAAUUAAUUUAACUUGGGAGUCAGAACAUGGGUGAUAAGGUCCGUGUUCGAAAGGGAAACAGCCCAGACCACCAGCUAAGGUCCCAAAAUAUAUGUUAAGUGGAAAAGGAUGUGGCGUUGCCCAGACAACUAGGAUGUUGGCUUAGAAGCAGCCAUCAUUUAAAGAGUGCGUAAUAGCUCACUAGUCGAGUGACACUGCGCCGAAAAUGUACCGGGGCUAAACAUA